AGGGUUCGAUUCUGGCUCAGGAUGAACGCUGGCGGCGUGCUUAACACAUGCAAGUCGAACGGGAUCCAUCAGGCUUUGCUUGGUGGUGAGAGUGGCGAACGGGUGAGUAAUGCGUGACCGACCUGCCCCAUACACCGGAAUAGCUCCUGGAAACGGGUGGUAAUGCCGGAUGCUCCAGUUGAUCGCAUGGUCUUCUGGGAAAGCUUUCGCGGUAUGGGAUGGGGUCGCGUCCUAUCAGCUUGACGGCGGGGUAACGGCCCACCGUGGCUUCGACGGGUAGCCGGCCUGAGAGGGCGACCGGCCACAUUGGGACUGAGAUACGGCCCAGACUCCUACGGGAGGCAGCAGUGGGGAAUAUUGCACAAUGGGCGCAAGCCUGAUGCAGCGACGCCGCGUGAGGGAUGGAGGCCUUCGGGUUGUAAACCUCUUUUAUCGGGGAGCAAGCGAGAGUGAGUUUACCCGUUGAAUAAGCACCGGCUAACUACGUGCCAGCAGCCGCGGUAAUACGUAGGGUGCAAGCGUUAUCCGGAAUUAUUGGGCGUAAAGGGCUCGUAGGCGGUUCGUCGCGUCCGGUGUGAAAGUCCAUCGCUUAACGGUGGAUCCGCGCCGGGUACGGGCGGGCUUGAGUGCGGUAGGGGAGACUGGAAUUCCCGGUGUAACGGUGGAAUGUGUAGAUAUCGGGAAGAACACCAAUGGCGAAGGCAGGUCUCUGGGCCGUUACUGACGCUGAGGAGCGAAAGCGUGGGGAGCGAACAGGAUUAGAUACCCUGGUAGUCCACGCCGUAAACGAUGAGUGCUAGGUGUUGGGUCCUUUCCGGGACUCAGUGCCGCAGCUAACGCAUUAAGCACUCCGCCUGGGGAGUACGACCGCAAGGUUGAAACUCAAAGGAAUUGACGGGGGCCCGCACAAGCAGUGGAGUAUGUGGUUUAAUUCGACGCAACGCGAAGAACCUUACCAAGUCUUGACAUCCCUUGACAGGCAUAGAAAUAUGUUUUCUCUUCGGAGCAAGGAGACAGGUGGUGCAU
rnacentral:rRNA from 1 species